UAGUUUAAUAUGUUUAUUAUGCACCCCAUACCCAUCCUGUGGGCGGUAGUCAAAAGAUUACAGAGGUACAUAAUUGGUCCAGGGACUGGACUCCAAAGUUUUGAUAGCUGAGCAAGUUACAGAGGCAAUGAACUCACAAUUUACAAAGGUAAUGAACUCACAAUUUACAAAGGUAAUGAACUCCAGGUAAGUCUGGUCACAAUCAUGACAAGUUACAAAGGUAUUUACAGAUUACAGAGGUACGUAAUGGGUCCAGGGACUGGGCCCCCAAAGUUUUGAUAGCUGAACUAGGUACAAAGGUAAUGAGCUCACAAGUUACAAAGGUAAUGAAUUCUGUAGAAUGGUUACUUACGUUUAUACUUUGGCUACAAUCAUGAACAAAUUAUAGAGUAAUGAGCAAUUCACACUUCCACACCCGGUCACAACUGUAAUGAGUUAUUGGUGCAAAUAUUGAUUGUUGAGUCACACACACCACACACACACACACACAGAGAAAGAGAACAGAGUGAUUUCUUGUAUAUCUAACAUACAUAUAAUCUGAUCCCUAGUAUAUCUCCUUUCAUUGUAACUACUUUUCACAUAAUUGAUUUACUUGCCUGUUUUAACUUUAAGGUUUAAACAAUAAUUAUUACAAGGACCCCAAUGGAAAUAAGGCACUGACUUUUUUGGGUUAUCAUGGGUAAUUUACACAGGCUGUUAUGUAUGAUAAUUUAUUUAACUGUAUUUAUAUGUACCUGUAUCUUACUAUGCCUCGGCAUAAGAGUGGCUUUCCUUGUACUUGACAAAUUAAAAUUGUAAUUACACAUUGUAAACUUUGCAAAGAAAUAAAAUCUUUAAUCUUUUUAAUCGGGAAGCCGGGUUCGAUACUGCGUAAGCCGUCAGUGGCCCUGAUAAACCCCAACAAACAUCUUUUACAAAUGUUUUGGGAAAUUCAUAAUUGCUUCUGCGCCAGCCUUCGUCGGGUGUGGACAUUUCUCUCUCGUCUGAGUAUCAGUGAUAAACUUCCACCGUUCUCUCUGGGAUGCUUGUCCUCAACUAUUUUGCCCACCAGGCACUCUACAGGAGGGGCACCUAUUCAUCGGCUUACUUUUAGCCAGCUCCAUUUUCCCCUUUGCGGGAAAUUCUUUAACGGUCUUUCCCCUCAGGGACGGUUCCUUGAUGUUGGUGAGGGGCUCUUGAUUUAGGGAAUUGGAUCUGUGCUCCAGUUCCCCGAAUUAAGCCAGAAUGCCUUCCACAUCCCCCCCAGGCGCUGUAUAAUCCUCCGGUUUUAGCGCUUCCCCCUUGAUUAUAAUAAUAAUGUAUAAUCCUCCGGGUUUAGCUCUUCCCCCUUAUUAUAAUAAUAAUGUAUAAUCCUCCGGGUUUAGCUCUUCCCCCUUGAUUAUAAUAAUAAUAAUAAUUUAACGGUAUUUGGUGGGAAGCCGGUUACUGAACUCAGGUGGGGAUGUGGGCGUCCCUCUCUGCUGCGGCUUGGCAAAGGGGUCCACCGGAUCUAAUUGGAAACUUCAAGUUUCUAUCUCUAUUUACAAAGGAACUUUUGUUCCUUUUCUUUCAUCACCCAGCCUUGGGCAACAAUUUUUCCUCGUACCAUCGAGAAGUCGGGCUCGAUACGGCUUAUGCUGUCAGUGGACCUGAUAAACCCAACAAAGUAAGAAGAAUUGACCAGUGUGGGAUUUAUUAGGUCAUGCGUUAAUUAAUAGUUUACCAGUGAGUUUGUAGCGACUCACAAGUGUAAGAUCAGCUGUUAUACAUCACUAGUACUUUCAAAGAGCUUGUAAGGCCGACCUUCUGGAAUGGAUUACGGCUGAUAACUGAGGGUCCACUGUACUGUGAUGAAUAAUUUAUACUAGGAGUAAACAGAUUUGCAACAAACUCGCACUAAAUGAGGAAGAAAUAAAGGGUACCAGUUGAUCAAAUGGCUGCCUUAACACAGGUAAGAAUAUGAGACUUAACAUCAACUUAUCUUUUUUGCAAGUGUCAUGAUUGGAGUAGUACAGUAAUGGAUAAAAAUGUACUAGGAAUAUAUUUAACGAAAAAUCUGGUUGAGAACUGCAUUAAUUUUUUUAACGUGCUGGCCGUCUCCCACCAAGGCAGGGUAGCCCAAAAACAAACUUUCACCAUCAUUCACACUGUCACAUUAUUAUCUUAUAAAUGGUUAUUCAAACACAGUAUUAUAGAAGAAGAAUUCAUUUGCAAAGGUAUGGUACAGCAUCAUUCUACAGUAGAUAUAUAACUGGAAGAGCUACAUGCCAGAGUAGUCAAAUCGCAAAAACUGGCUGGACGGAAUGUUUCUUAGACACGAGUUCUGUACACUUUGGAAUCAUGGAAGUAAUGAUUUUCAUGUAGAAUAAGUUGAAGCUGAUUGAUACCUCGGAUUAGUUAUUAUUCGUAUGCAUUGUAAAUUCAGUAAACUCGGAAAAAGCCUGCUGUUCAAGAAAUCUCAAAUAAGUUUCUGGUCCCCACUUGUAACCUGAAGCAUCGAAGGAUGUGAAUGGAUAUAUUUAAUAUUUGGCAUCCAAUUUAACAUUUCUGCUAUAAUAAUACAUUAAAGUACAUAUGUAAACAAUGUAUAUACAGUAGUGGAUUGUAUAUACAGCACAUAUAUUUAAUGUAUACAGAUUUCAUAGUUAUAAUGAUGAAUUUAAGGCCAGGGAUGAAAUCUGCUAUCCACUGACAGAUGUUUAACUCUGUGUAAAUGCACACAGUUUACUUUUAAUCCUUAUUUUAGGGAUUAAAGUACUUUGAUACACUAUAAGUAUCUAGGUGGAUUGUGGACUCGUAUAGUUGAUAGGCUUUAAAGCUAUCAUACAGUCUGACUGU